rnacentral:lncRNA from 1 species
GGGGGGCAAGAGGGUGGAAACGUUUUUCAUCUUUUGCCUGGGCCUAACUGAGGCUGUCGACGCAAAGGUCUCGCCUCCGGUCGAUGGUUUUGGGGUCAGUUAGGUUAUGGCCGAGCGCCUACACCACCCGAGCUGCCGUCACCUUCCAUCUACUUCCCAAAAAACCUCACAGAGGGUCCUUAACCCUGCUGGCGGCUGGGACCGCAGACGCGGCAGCCUGGCUCUGUCCUCGGAAAGCUCAGGCAGGUGUUUUUGGAUCCUCUCUGGGGCGAGACUCCACCUAGCCUGGAAGGACUCCAAAUCAGUGUGUGGUUUGUGCCUGCCCCAGAAGAAUCUCCUGGGGAGGAGGCCUUGGGCUGGAACCCAUAGCUCACCCACUCAUCUCAUACAUCAUGAAAUGGACUCUUGUCUUACUGACCUCACGUGGGAAUCUGAAGAUCAAGUGAAAUUCCAUGUAAAAGGAAAUUUGCACC